UACAGAGGUGGCAAGCGUUGUUCGGAAUUACUGGGCGUAAAGCGCGUGUAGGCGGCUCUUCAAGUCAGGCGUGAAAGCCCCGGGCUCAACUCGGGAACUGCGCUUGAUACCGUCGAGCUAGAGUGUGGAAGGGGCGAUUGGAAUUCCGUGUGUAGCGGUGAAAUGCGUAGAUAUACGGAGGAACACCAGAGGCGAAGGCGGAUCGCUGGGCCAACACUGACGCUGAGACGCGAAAGCUAGGGUAGCAAACGGG
rnacentral:rRNA from 1 species